rnacentral:tRNA from 1 species
GCGGAAGUAGUUCAGUGGUAGAAUACAACCUUGCCAAGGUUGGGGUUGCGGGUUCGAAUCCCGUCUUCCGCUCCA